CAGCUGCUCAGAAAUUUCUGGUAGGAGCAAAAGGGGUUGAUUUCUGCCAUCCCUGGAGCCGUUCCCAUCACUGAGUGAGAGAGAGGAGCUGGGAGAGGAGCUGCUUCCUUCUCGCCUCUGCUUUCCUCUGCCGGGGUUAGCAGAAAGGUUGAUCUCCAGAUGAUGCAGUUAAGGGCUUCAAGGACACCAGCAGGCCUUUCCCUCCUGGGCGCCUUCAGCAUCGUGCCAGGUGCAGGAUAGAGAUCAUGAUGGAGGGUAAGGGGCUUUUCUUCUGUGCUGGGAAGCGUUUCAUCAAGUGGCGAGGAGUUUCAAGGGCAGCCCUGGCUUUCCUCUGUUCCCUUUGGAGGAGACGUGGGGGGUUUCUGUAGAAUUUCCUUUAUCCGGCUGUUAGCUAGACCUUGGUCCACUGGGCCAAGAGAGGCACCUUUUAAAGUAGAGACUCUUCUUUUGAGCAGGGGGAGAGCAGUUGUCCCUCUUCAGCACUGCACAGCGCCCUUUCCAGGGCCUCCCUUGUGUCUUUUUCUAAUCAUGCAGCCCUUUGGAACAGGGAACCAUUGGGGGGGGGGGUCCUUCUCUUGUGCCACACAGUUUGGGAAAUGGCCCUGCUCCCUGGGCCAUGAGGGACCUUUGGACGAAGUCGCGGUUCUUUGAUUCUGAGCAGGCAGAGAGCCCCAGUCCCUGUUCACUGCAGCAGAGAAGCCCCUCCCAGUGGCUGUGGCUAAAGCCUCCCUUGUGCUGCUGCUGCUGCUGCUUAAAGUGCACAUCCCUUCAGGGCAGGGAACCGUCUUCAGGCCCUCUUGCGGCCCCCCGUUUGGGAAUCACCAAUGUGCAUAAGCUUGUAAGUCCUUUUGGGACAAGGAAACAUCUUCAGGCCUUCUUGUGACACACAGCUUGGCUUCCCUCCCUGCUAACUGAGCAAAACAUUUUUUAAAGUGGUGUCUCGCUUAUAUUUCGGGGGGGGGGCAGGGAGCAACUGUCCCCUAAUCAACUCAGCAUAGCAUCCUUCUGAGGCUACUGCUGGCGUCUCUCUUGAGCUGCUGCUUGGACCGUGAGCCCCUCUGGGACAGGGAACUCUCUUCUCAUUCCUUUUGCAAUGUUAACUCUUUUUAGUUAAAAACGGCAUAUCAACCUUUGUACUAAUUGUGGAUCGUGAGUGUGACUGGAAAGAGUGACGAGAUCACAUGGUCCCUCCUCCCUGCUUGAGAGGGAGGAGUCUGGUCUUGUUCAGACACACCUCUGCACGUCAUUCAGACCCGGGAACUGUGGGUUAAGUGCUUACACAUCUGGACGUAUCUGAUUUUUCUUUAUGUCAAAAGAAAAAGAGAUACCAAAGCAGGACCGUGAAAGAUCUGGGGGCACAAGUGGUCUUUUCUUCUGUCUACCUGGAGGAAGUUCAAGCUGCACAAAGAGAAUGCAGGAUCCUGCAAGGAAACAGCUGACUGUGAUGAGGGCAUAAUCAAGAAAGGUCUGGAUUCUUGAACCAAUGUCCAGGUGACCUGCAUGGAGGACUCCUGGAGGGGGUGCACUUCAUGAAGACUGGGGAAAAUGGGCUGGGCAAGAGCAUUGGUUGAUACAUCAGAAGUGGGGGUAACCAUGGGGGAAAGUGGCUGUGCCAUCUUAGAAUUCACAAAAUCAAGGGGAGGAGAUGAAGUGUCAAGAUGUGCACCUUGGAUUUCAGGCAAGCUGACUUGAAUAAACUCAGAGGAAUACCUGAUAGGAUUCCAAAACUAGUCCUAAAGGAGAACCUUUAUAUAGACUCUGAGGGCUUCACCGAUGAGGAGAAACCUGUGGGCAUGUCAGGGGAGCAAAGGGGCAAGGCCAAAGAGAUUGGCCACAUCCUAGUUCCAAGAAAAGGGAGCAGAGAUUGGGAAGAUGGAAUUGCAGUUCUGAGGAGUUGUGUGCAGGGCUGGAGCAGAAGGAGAGCUGGGCCAAGCCUGGAUGGAUGGGGAACUUGGGAGGAAAGUGGAGGUGGGGAAUCCUACUGGAUUCCAUGAGGCAUUGGUACUCGGCUUAUAUUUAUGAAUAACACAAAUAUUUUUGUGUUGAUGAAAAGUUGGUGUUUAUGCUUUAUUUUAAAAUUAUUUAUAUAUUUUAUAUUGAAAGCACUCUUGGUUUAAAAAAACCUGCAGGGUUGUGUACAGCCCAUCAGAUCCCUCUGCUACCUCUUACUUUCUCCCACAAUGAGCACAACAGAUCUUUCCAUAGAGAUAUGUUUCCACAGACAUGACGUUUUCAUGUUGCUGCUGCUUCCUUGCCGUAGCUGCCUUUUCUUUUUUAAUGGAGGUGGAAAGGGAUAGCUAUUCACAGCAAUUAGCCAAGAAGAUAAGGAUGGCCCACCUGAAGCUCAGCAGCUGCUGUUGGACUAGAACUCACAUCAUCCCCAGCUGUUCUGUGGGGCUCCCAUAACCCCCAUCAAAAAAUAGUGGCCGCGCGUUCCUGGAGGACCGGCCGCGCGUUCCUGGAGGACCAGCCGUGCGUUCCUGGAGGACCGGCCGCGCGUUCAUCGUAUAGAUUUUUCUCUUAGCAGGUAUUACAAUCACUGUCAGGCAGGAUGGGAAACUCCUGAAUAAGUUUUUUCAGUGAAUCAUGAGAUGAGCAAGGAAGGGAUCCGGGCAGAUGGUUGCAGCGCUAGCAAGGAGCAUUUCCAGUCGUUCACUCAGGAGCAGAACAGCUAAUGAAGCAAGCAAAGAAGAGCUUCCCUUUCAACAUCUAAGGAAGGAGCCUGUCCUGCUUCUGAUGCACUGUUCUCAAUGCGAGUGCCGAGGGUGGCCUCAGCUGGGUAAAUAUGCACUGACUCAAUGUCAAAUCUCUCCGGUGGCUGAGGGGAAUGGUGGGCCCUAGAGAAGGCAGGAAGAGGCCAACCCCACAACAGAUGCCCAUUCUCUUUCUGGCUGGGUUUGCAAAAGCCUCAUGUACUCUCAAGGUCAUGAGGCUUUUGCAAAGAGUAACUGGCCCUAUCCACCCCCAGCACAGUACUUCCAGUGACUGUUGCUGGUGUCUUAUCUUAUGUUUUGUUUUAGAAUGUGAGCCCUUUGGGGACAGGGAGCCAUCUUAUUUAUUUAUUUCUCUGUGUAAACCACCCUGAGCUAUUUUUGGAAGGGCGGUAUAGAAAUUGAAAUAAAAUAAAAUAAAAUAAAAUAAUAAUAAUAAUAAUAAUAAUAAUAAUAAUAAGAGGGGGCAUAGUUUCCCAGCAAAUGACUUCGCCCCAGGAGUGGAAUCCACACCUUAGUUUACAGAGCUCCCUUCAAGCUAAUUACUGAAGUUGCAGCCCAGGUUUGCACCCGUUCCCUCUGUCCCAUCUCUUGAUUCCGAGUGUGGGUCCCCAACCCCCCCUUCCCCUGGCUCCGCAUCCAGUGCAGGGUGCAAAUGUCACGUCCAGCCCUGGCAGGGUGCAAGAAACAAGGUUGGACCCCACAGUGAACCAGUCUGUAGGGCCAAGCAGGGGGGCAGAGGGUGCGCUAGUAAAAGCGAUCCCCGCCCUCUCUUGGCCUUCUGCAGGGACACCUCGGCAUCCACUCACCCCCCUCAGGUGACAGUGUGGGAUUAGCCGGUCGCCAUUUGGGGCCGAGUAGGAAUUUUCCCCAUCCACCCGGAUUGGCUUGGAGGUGGCUGGUUUUUUGCCUACUCUGCACUGUUGCACUGGAAGGGAUUUCUGAUCUGGCGGAUGUUAGGAGUGGUGCCGCUAAAUAGUGUAGCCCCUUGGUCACCAUGGCAGGUCCGGGGGGGGAUGUAGUGCCCCACCCCAUUGGUGGCAGGUGCGAUUUCCCCCAGCUACACUCUAGUUCUCUGCUAAAAUGAGUCAAUAAAGUGAUGGCCCUAGUUUCAACCCA